GGGACGGACAGCCGCGCAUCUGCGCUGAAAAGCGCCCAUGUGAGGAAAGUCCGGGCACCACAGGGCAAGGAUAACGGGUAACGCCCGCCGAAGGCGACUUCAGGAAAAGUGCAACAGAGAAAUACCGCCCCGCUCGCGGGGUAAGGGUGGAAAGGCGAGGUAAGAGCUCACCCGCCGCAUGGGAACAUUGCGGCGCUGUAAACUCUAUCCGGUGCAACACCGUGGAGGAAGCAUAUGGCCUGCCCGGCCGCUUCCGAGGGGGUGGCUUGAGCGCAGCGGCAACGCUGCGUCGAGAUAGAUGGCUGUCGAUCACAGAACCCGGCUUAUAGUCCCAAU
rnacentral:RNase_P_RNA from 1 species